CGGAGAAUGUUAUCACGGGAGACACACGGCGGGUGCUAACGUCCGUCGUGAAGAGGGAAACAACCCAGACCGCCAGCUAAGGUCCCAAAGUCAUGGUUAAGUGGGAAACGAUGUGGGAAGGCCCAGACAGCCAGGAUGUUGGCUUAGAAGCAGCCAUCAUUUAAAGAAAGCGUAAUAGCUCACUGGUCGAGUCGGCCUGCGCGGAAGAUGUAACGGGGCUAAACCAUGCACCGAAGCUGCGGCAGCGACGCUGAUGCGUUGUUGGGUAGGGGAGCGUUCUGUAAGCCUGCGAAGGUGUGUCGUGAGGCAUGCUGGAGGUAUCAGAAGUGCGAAUGCUGACAUAAGUAACGAUAAAGCGGGUGAAAAGCCCGCUCGCCGGAAGACCAAGGGUUCCUGUCCAACGUUAAUCGGGGCAGGGUGAGUCGACCCCUAAGGCGAGGCCGAAAGGCGUAGUCGAUGGGAAACGGGUUAAUAUUCCCGUACUUGGUGUUACUGCGAAGGGGGGACGGAGAAGGCUAUGUUGGCCGGGCGACGGUUGUCCCGGUUUAAGCGURUAGG
rnacentral:rRNA from 1 species